UCAAACUUGGUCAUUUAGAGGAAGUAAAAGUCGUAACAAGGUUUCCGUAGGUGAACCUGCGGCAGGCUCAUUAAUGGGUUCUUGUGAAGGGCUGUCGCUGGCCAUAGUACCACUGUGGCAUGUGCACGCCUGGAUCAUUCACAAUCUUCCCCUCUCACACCUGUGCACAACCCGUAGCACAUGGGUUGGUUAUUGCAUAAUUUCUGCCCUACAUGGGCUAUGCUUUUCUCUCUACAUACACCUGUCUUGUAAUAAAGUCUGUUGGUGCAAGCUUUGUGCAUAUACAAUUAUAAAACAACUUUCAGCAAUGGAUCUCUUGGCUCUCGCAUCAAUGAAGAACGCAGC
rnacentral:misc_RNA from 1 species